GCUCAUUUUGGCAGCACAUAUACUAUACAUUGGAACUAUACAGAAAAGAUUAGCAUGGCACCUAUGCAAGGAUGACACGCAAAUUUGUGAAACGUUCCAUAUUCAA